rnacentral:rRNA from 1 species
UACGGAGGGUGCAAGCGUUGUUCGGAUUUACUGGGCGUAAAGCGCGCGCAGGUGGGUGUGCAAGUCGGAUGUGAAAGCCCUGGGCUCAACCCAGGAAGUGCAUUCGAGACUGCAGAGCUGGAGUCCUGGAGAGGAAGGCGGAAUUCUCGGUGUAGAGGUGAAAUUCGUAGAUAUCGAGAGGAACACCGGUGGCGAAGGCGGCCUUCUGGACAGUGACUGACGCUGAGACGCGAAAGCGUGGGGAGCAAACAGG